rnacentral:rRNA from 1 species
GACGAACGCUGGCGGCGUGCUUAACACAUGCAAGUCGAACGGAAAGGCCCUGCUUGCAGGGUACUCGAGUGGCGAACGGGUGAGUAACACGUGGGUGAUCUGCCCUGCACUUCGGGAUAAGCCUGGGAAACUGGGUCUAAUACCGGAUAGGAGCCAUUUUUAGUGUGGUGGUUGGAAAGUUUUUUCGGUGUAGGAUGAGCUCGCGGCCUAUCAGCUUGUUGGUGGGGUAAUGGCCUACCAAGGCGGCGACGGGUAGCCGGCCUGAGAGGGUGGACGGCCACAUUGGGACUGAGAUACGGCCCAGACUCCUACGGGAGGCAGCAGUGGGGAAUAUUGCACAAUGGGCGCAAGCCUGAUGCAGCGACGCCGCAUGGGGGAUGACGGCCUUCGGGUUGUAAACUCCUUUCGCUAGGGACGAAGCUUUUUGUGACGGUACCUAGAUAAGAAGCACCGGCUAACUACGUG